rnacentral:lncRNA from 1 species
GCUAAAUUCCAAAGACCUGGAGGUCCCAGGCCUGAGAAGCACUUGUGGCUGAGGGAUCUGUGUUUUUUUGUUUAUUUUUUUGUUGAUGUUUGGGUAGUGGGGAUUGAAUCUAGGGGUGCUUAAAUACUGAGUCGCAUCCCCAGCCCUUUUUAUUUAGAGACAGGGGCUCACUAUGUUGCUCAGGGCCUUGCUAAAUUGCUGAGGCCUGCUUUGAACUUGCAAUUCUCCUGCUUUAGCUUCCCGAGCUGCUGGGAUUACAGGUGUGCCUCACUGCCCCUGGCGGGAUUUUGUGUUUUCGAGGGCCUAAUUACAGCAUGCGUGUGUACACACCUCAAGAACAGCAGAAGGUUGAAGCUAGGACAUUCGCUAGCCCAACAAUAUCUCAUUUUCCAGAAGUCAUAAAACUUGGUCAGAUCCUCAAAAUGAGUGGCUACCUGCUUUUGGGAAGGGAUUGCCCAACAUUUGGUGCCAUUAGCUGUAGCUGUUAAGUCUCGGUAGCCAGCCUUCUCCUUCAGCGCAGAGGAGAACGAGGCAAUUCUGGUCCCUGCUCAUGUGCCCCUGUGCUCAGCUCCAAAUCUGUCACCAUGAAGUUCAGCUCACCCAGGAUGCUUCUCCCCCAUCACAGCCUCCUCAGAGACAGCAUCACAGUGAUGAGGUCAAUUGGGAUCAGAGGAGGCUCUUCCCCAUUUCCCAAAGGCAUCUUGGGCAAGAAGGUGACAUGUGACAGUGCAGCAGAUUGUCCAGUUGGAGGGGCAGUGCCCAAAUCUGUGGCUGGAGAUCAACAUGCUAAGUGAAUGAAGGAACAAAUGAUCAAAUACACAAUCACCUCCUGCUUCACUUGCAGGGACUACUGGAAGUGGCCGUUUGCAUUAUUCUGGAAUGCUGGUAAUUGCUUCCUCUUGGUACCCUACAGCUACAAUAGAUUUUUUCCUCCAUAAUUAUAAUUUCAGCAAAUUUUUGCAAUUGUCAAAUCCUGCAUUUUCCAAGCACUCCAGCUCUGUUCCCUGUCGAGCGGACGCCUUGUGUUGGGUGGUUAAUUCAGCCUCAGUUCUCACUCUGGUGCCAACUCCAAGAACUCUUUACCGGGCGGAUUUAUGAUGGAUGCCAUCUGGUCUGAUAGAAGGAAACAGAUAUUGAUUUUUAAUAUUUUCUCCCAACUUGUUUACUGUAGGAUAAUACAGCAGCCGUGUGGCAGCUUGUCUCAGAGUGGAAAGGAUUAUUACCACUGCCUUUUGAUGAGAUAAAUUACCCAGGAUGACUUGAAUGGCUAGAGGGUAUACUUUGAUGUUAUGUCGCUUCAUUUACCCUUAUGACUAAAUGAUUAUUGAUUUUAUAUUUUUAAGCUCUUGAAACGUGAAAAUAAGUUGGUGGAGAAGCCCGGCUGUGUUAGUUUUAUUAAUUUAUUUCUGCAGGGCAUAAUUCACUUUGGGCCAGGUUGUGAAGGGUUUGGGUUCAUGACCGGCUGCAGAUACAGUUGCAAAGAAAUGGCUUAUUUAUAUAGUCAUUGCAAGUAGUCCCAAAAUCAAUACAGUCUGGGAUUGGAUGAUUAAACUCAGUCCCUUUGUGGGAUUCAUUCCUGUAGCUGCUGCCGAAAUCAUCUUGACUGCACCAGAUUCAUGUGAUCAAGUCUACAAAUAGCAAGUUUGUUCAAGUUGAAAUAUUAUUUUUUUGCUCAUCUUUUUUUUUAUCUGUUCUCUUCACUCAAUGACAUUUUAACAGGCUCGAGAGAAAAAAAAAAGGCUGAUUGACUCCUUCAAUGACAUUAGGAAUCUGCAUUCACAGAGCAGCCACUGAGGACUGAGAGAAUGCCCACGGGUGGAUUUGUGCAGACUUUGGACAGAGGCCCCAGGCUGAGCUGGGUUCUGUCCUGGGCAUUCCCAAGGGCAGACAGCCGGAGUCCAGGGUGCAGGCAGGGCACAGUGUGCAGGCCACAGCCCUGCCAUUCCUGGUCCACACGGCCUUGCCUGAUGGGUUGGUGUCCUGCCCCAUUUGGCUGAGGCAGGCCUGGGCCACCCCCUCUCGGCUAUUCCCAGAUUUCACAGAAAACUGGAUUUUUUUUUCACAAUUUCUCCCAAUUUAUUUCCAUAGAUUUUAAAAUAUAAUUCCUCGUGUCACAUCUAUUCCUUCUUAAUAAAAUUUAGUUCAAUUACUGAGACUCUCAAGUUCAGUGUUUGGAUUCGGAAGUCGGCUUGUUCAUAGGACCCUCACUGUUCCCUGCACAGCACCGACAGCAUGGGGUUGCUGUGGGGAGAGGUGAGCGGGAGGCCAGAACCAGCCCACACCCAGGACUCAUGGUGGGGAAGGCUUUAAUUGUAUUUCCGCAAUUUUCAGUCACAAAAUGCCCCUCCCUGGACCUUCACCCCAGCCCCAGCCAGAGGCUUUCAGCGAAAUGCACUCAUGGGUCUUGUCCUGAGAUGUUACUGUAAAGCACACAACUUCAGGUGGGCUCCCAUGUGAAGCUCGCUUAAGAUGAGGCUGCGUGUUAGAACACAAGACCCGUUUACGUGAGCCAGCCAUUCUGUCCACACGAGAAGUGGCUAUAAGGCAUUUCAUUCUCAAGACAGGACUUCUCAGUGUUGUAAGUAGUGACAGCAUGUUUUUAUGGAGUGAAAAAAGGUGUAAAACACCUUUUCUUACUUUAGUCAGUAUGUAUGUAUAAUUAAUAUGCAGUAAAUUAUACAGCUCCAGUUUAAAGCUUGUUUAAAUGCAUAGAAUUGGAAGUAGAAUGAAGAAAUAAAAUAACUUUUGGAGCAG